rnacentral:rRNA from 1 species
AUGGAGGGGAGGAGGCUGGAGGAGGAGGAGCAGCGGGAGGUGCUGCUCAUCCACAGCCAGGUGCGGAGGAUCAAGCGGGAGGACGAGGAGACCCGGAGGCACCUCCUGAAGCUGCAGCUGCUGGAGACGAGGCCGGCCGCCGGGCAAGGGCAGGAGGCCUCGCCGCCGGCCUCCCGCUCGCUGUCACCGCUCCGGCGCGCCGGGAGCGCCAUACCGGUCGGCGACUGGGCCUAG